AAGGGCCCGCGCAGUCCUCACAGGGCCCCAGAGCCGGAGUCGGCCCCACAGCCCUGGGCCGUCGGUUUCCUACUUCCUCGACCUACCCGGCCCCCGGGCCUGAGGAUUGGCUCGGCGGGGGUUACGAGGGCAAACAGACUUAAGCAGCUGCCCGUUGUCUUGCAACUCCACAGCUGAGGAACUCUUCAUUUCUUCCCUGGCUCCCUCACCCCCUACCUCAUGUAGGAGGGUGCUGAGGAAUCGGGAGGGAGGAGCCUUCGCUACAGUUCCUUCCCUCCCCACCCCCUUCUAGAGGCACUUUGGUAGGCGUGGGGUCGGGGUUGGGGGGGAGGGUGGGGGUUACUUUUUGGAGUGCUGGGGAACUUUUUCCCCUUUUUGAGGCCAGGGGAAAGGGAAUGCCCAAUCCAGAGAGACAUGGGGGCAAGAAGGAUGGGAGUGGAGGAGCUUCUGGAACUUUGCAGCCGUCGUCUGGAGGUGGCAGCUCCAACAGCAGAGAGCGUCACCGCUUGGUGUCGAAGCACAAACGGCACAAGUCCAAGCACUCCAAAGACAUGGGAUUGGUGACCCCUGAAGCAGCACCUUUGGGUACAAUUAUCAAACCUUUGGUGGAGUAUGAUGACAUCAGCUCUGAUUCAGAUACCUUCUCUGACGACAUGGCCUUCAAACUAGACAGGAGGGAGAAUGAUGAACGUCGUGGAACUGAUCGGAGUGACCGUCUCCACAAACAUCGUCACCACCAGCACAGACGUUCCCGGGACUUACUAAAAACUAAACAGACAGAAAAAGAAAAAAACCAGGAAGUUUCCACCAAGUCGGGAUCGAUGAAGGACCGGAUGUCAGGAAGUUCAAAGCGUUCAAAUGAGGAGAAUGAUGACUAUGGAAAGGCACAGAUCUCCAAAAGCAGUAGCAACAAGGAAUCCAGGUCAUCCAAACUCCACAAAGAGAAAGCCCGAAAAGAACGUGAGGUGAAGUCUGGCCACAAAGACCGGAGUAAAAGUCAUCGGAAAAGGGAAACACCCAAAAGUUACAAAACAGUGGACAGCCCCAAACGGAGAUCCAGGAGUCCCCACAGGAAAUGGUCUGACAGCCCCAAGCAAGAUGAUAGCCCCUCAGGAGCUUCUUACGGCCAAGAUUAUGACCUUAGUCCCCCAAGAUCUCACACCUCCAGCAAUUAUGACUCCUAUAAGAAGAGUCCUGGAAGUACCUCAAGAAGGCAGUCAAUUAGUCCACCUUACAAGGAGCCUUCGGCCUACCAGUCCAGCACCCGGUCACCCAGCCCCUACGGUAGACGACAGAGGUCUGUUAGUCCUUAUAGCAGGAGACGGUCGUCCAGCUAUGAAAGGAGUGGCUCUUACAGUGGAAGAUCACCCAGUCCCUAUGGUCGAAGGCGGUCCAGCAGUCCUUUCACAAGCAAACGGUCUCUGAGUCGGAGUCCACUCCCCAGGAAAUCCAUGAAGUCUAGAAGUAGAAGUCCCGCAUAUUCAAGACACUCAUCUUCUCAUAGUAAAAAGAAGAGAUCUGGGUCACGCAGUCGACAUUCCAGUAUCUCACCUGUCAGGCUUCCACUGAACUCCAGCUUGGGAGCUGAACUCAGUAGGAAAAAGAAGGAAAGAGCAGCUGCUGCUGCUGCAGCAAAAAUGGAUGGAAAGGAAUCCAAGGGUUCACCUAUAUUUUUGCCUAGAAAAGAGAACAGUUCAGUAGAGGCUAAGGAUUCAGGUUUGGAGUCUAAAAAGUUACCCAGAAGUGUAAAAUUGGAAAAAUCUGCCCCAGAUACUGAACUGGUGAAUAUAACACAUCUAAACACAGAAGCCAAAAAUUCUUUAGAUACAGGGAAACUAAAGUUGGAUGAGAACUCUGAGAAGCAUCCUGUUCUUAAAGAUUUGAAAGCACAGGGAACAAGAGACUCCAAACCCGUAGCAUUGAAGGAGGAGGUUGUUACUCCAAAAGAGACAGAGACAUCAGAAAAGGAAACCCCUCCACCUCUCCCCACAGUUACGUCUUCUCCACCUCCAUUACCAACUACUACCCCUCCACCUCAGACACCCCCUUUGCCACCUCUGCCUCCACUACCAGCUAUUCCACAGCAACCACCUCUGCCUCCUCCCCAGCCAGCAUUUAGUCAGGCUCCUGCUUCCAGUACUUCAACUUUACCCCCUUCUACUCAUCCAAGGACAUCUACUUUGUCCUCUCAGGCAAAUUCUCAGCCCCCUGUACAGGUUUCUGUGAAGACUCAAGUAUCUGUAACAGCUGCUAUUCCACACCUAAAAACGUCAACGUUGCCUCCUCUGCCUCUCCCACCCUUAUUACUUGGAGAUGAUGACAUAGAUAGUCCAAAAGAAACUCUACCUUCAAAACCUGUAAAGAAAGAGAAGGAACAAAGGACUCGUCACUUACUCAUGGACCUCCCUCUCCCUCCAGAGCUCCCUGGUGGGGAUCCAUCACCCCCAGACUCUCCAGAACCAAAGGCAAUAACACCACCUCAGCAACCGUAUAAAAAAAGACCAAAAAUUUGUUGUCCUCGUUAUGGAGAAAGAAGACAAACAGAAAGUGACUGGGGGAAGCGCUGUGUGGACAAGUUUGACAUUAUUGGGAUUAUUGGAGAGGGAACCUAUGGCCAAGUAUAUAAAGCCAAGGACAAAGACACAGGAGAGCUAGUGGCCCUGAAGAAGGUGAGACUAGACAAUGAGAAAGAGGGCUUCCCAAUCACAGCCAUUCGUGAGAUCAAAAUCCUUCGUCAGUUAAUCCACAGAAGUGUUGUUAACAUGAAGGAAAUCGUCACAGAUAAACAAGAUGCAUUGGAUUUCAAAAAGGACAAAGGUGCCUUUUACCUUGUAUUUGAGUAUAUGGACCACGACUUAAUGGGACUGCUAGAAUCUGGUUUGGUGCACUUUUCUGAGGACCAUAUCAAGUCAUUCAUGAAACAGCUAAUGGAAGGAUUGGAUUAUUGUCACAAAAAGAAUUUCCUGCAUCGGGAUAUUAAGUGUUCUAACAUUUUGCUGAACAACAGUGGGCAAAUCAAACUAGCAGAUUUUGGACUUGCGCGGCUCUAUAACUCUGAAGAGAGUCGCCCUUAUACCAACAAAGUCAUUACUCUAUGGUACCGACCUCCAGAACUUCUUCUGGGAGAGGAGCGUUACACACCAGCCAUAGAUGUUUGGAGCUGUGGCUGCAUCCUUGGGGAACUGUUCACAAAGAAGCCUAUUUUUCAAGCCAAUCUGGAACUGGCUCAGCUAGAACUGAUCAGUCGACUCUGUGGUAGCCCUUGUCCAGCUGUGUGGCCUGAUGUUAUCAAGCUGCCCUACUUUAAUACCAUGAAACCGAAGAAGCAAUAUAGAAGGCGUCUACGAGAAGAAUUCUCUUUCAUUCCUUCAGCAGCUCUUGAUUUACUGGACCACAUGCUGACACUAGAUCCUAGCAAACGCUGUACAGCUGAGCAGACCCUACAGAGUGACUUCCUUAAAGAUGUCGACCUCAGCAAAAUGGAUCCUCCAGACCUCCCCCACUGGCAGGAUUGUCAUGAAUUAUGGAGUAAGAAACGGCGAAGGCAGCGACAAAGUGGUGUUGUGGUAGAAGAGCCACCUCCAUCCAAAGCCUCUCGAAAAGAAACUACCUCAGGGACAAGUGCUGAGCCUGUGAAGAACAGCAGCCCAGCACCACCUCAGCCUGCUCCUGGAAAGGUGGAGCCUGGGGCUGGGGAGGCAAUAGGCCUCGGUGACAUCACACAGCAAUUGAAUCAAAGUGAAUUGGCAGUGUUACUGAACCUGCUGCAGAGCCAAACCGACCUGAGCAUCCCUCAAAUGGUGCAGCUGCUUAAUAUCCACUCUAACCCUGAGAUACAGCAGCAGCUGGAGGCCCUGAACCAAUCCAUCAGUGCCCUAACAGAAGCCAGUUCCCAGCAGCAGGACUCAGAGCCUUUGGGCCCAGAGGAGUCUUUGAAGGAGGCACCCCCUGCUCCAGUGGUCCAGCCUUCAGCAGAACAGACGACCCCUGAAGCUUCAAGCACACCGGCUGACAUGCAGAAUAUGUUGGCAGUUCUCUUGAGUCAGCUGAUGAAAACCCAGGAGCCAGCAGGCAGCCUGGAGGAAAACAACAGUGACAAGAACAGUGGGCCACAGGGGCCCCGAAGAACUCCCACAAUGCCACAGGAGGAGGCAGCAGAUAGCAGCAGCAGGAAGAAGGAUGGCCCCUGAGAAAUGUUGUGAUGUCCAUCAGUCAUCUGUUAUCUGGAGCCCUGGGAAAUUCACAGACUCAAGCCAGGUUUGAUGGGAAGUCCACUUGUCCAAACACUGUGUGAGAUACCAGUAGAGACAUACAAGACUGCUUCUCUCCAUCUUCAGUGCCCAGAACCAGGCAGGUCACCAGCCUCUAGUGCCCGCCCCCACCCUUCUUGCUGCCAGAUGUGGAAACAGAGACCCAGAGAGGGGAAAUUAGUUGAAUCCUGUCCUGGUGUUGCUUUGUGUUCCUGGAUUUGGAGAGUUCCUGGGAACACAGGGAAAGCCAACUCCAGUCCUGGCCAUCUCAUCCCUUCCAAUCUAAGAAGACGUGAUGGAAAGUUCCACGAGGAAAAUGACCACGUCUGUCUGUGUUCACCAGUGUGCUCCCAGUGCCCAGCACUGUGCCUUGCAUAAAGCAGCUGUUGGGAAACAGGAAAAGAAGGUUCAGAGCAGAAGAGAGGGAAGGUGGAAUUCCAUGAAGAUACUCACGUGCAACAUACAGUCGUGCAGACUGGGAUAUGUGCAUGCAGGUCAGGAUGCUUGCUGAGGCCCCUUGUAGCACAUGUACACGCAGCUCACACAUCACCUAUGCAUGAAGUAGAAUUAUUCACAUAUGCAGGGAAGUCUUUCUUCCCAAAUCUAGGCCCCUGUCCUAACCAGAGCAAGCUGUUUUUUUUUAAGUUGCUAGCUUGAGCUGUGCCUCAGGUUUUUUCAUGAAUCCUAAUGCACCAACAUUCUCCAGCUCCUUGAGUCAGCUGUGGUGGUGACAGAGCCCCACAACAACUCUGGGGGCACCUAAGCUCAUCCAUGUACCUGUCUUAGCUGCAAUGUGAUGCCUUCUCUGGUGACCAUCAGAUGACAGGCUCAGACCUCUCACCUGGGAGAGGUGCUGGGCAUAGCCUUGGUUUCAGAGGGAAGAGGGGCUAGUUGGAGGUGAGAAAGGCAGAAACUGUGCCUCUCUGUGACCCCCUUUCCUCCCUGUCUCCAGGAAACAGGUGGCCCCCUCAUUAUCAGGAAACAUUUAUUGAGUGCCUACCCUCAAGGAAACACUGUGCUUAGUUUAGCACAGUGCCUCACAAUUUUCUGGGCUGGGUUAAUGACAGCCCCAAGAAUCUGGAUGUGCUGUCCUCAUUGGAGGAACCAUAGUAACUUGGCGUGGUAACCUCAACCUACCCCAUGUUAGGCUGCCAACCCAAAGAAUGCUCCUUGACCUUCCCCAGGAUUCCUCCUCCCUCAAAGAAGGAGCCAGCUCCUCCAUUGGCUGAUAUGGCUGCCAGCCAAGAGGCUUAGGGCAGGCCUGGGGCAUGCAGCUGGCACCUGCCCACCAGAUCCCAAAGGAGCACCCUCCUCCCCCACUCCAUAGCCCCAUUCUGAUGGCCCCUAGGCUGCAGGAAGACAAGAGCUCACUGCCCCCAAUUCCCAGAGAAAACCUUGAGCUAGAAAGCCCAUCAUCUUCCUUUCCACUAUAACCUGCUCUGAAAUCCUCCACCCAGACUAGGUAUACUAAAAACCCACCAGAUACUUUUUCCAGGCAAGAUCAAACACUGAAUAUAGUAGGGGUUGGACUACAGCUAGGUAAAGCCUGAGGAGUGAGGCCUGGGCUAGAAUUGUGGGAGAAGUUGCUGAGGUCAAGAUGGAUGAGGAAGAACUCAAUGGGAGUGACAUAGGAUGGCAGGGGCUGGGGGAUAGGGUUGGCAUAAAGGGAAGAGGCUAAGUAAAUCUGCAUCUUUCAUCUAAUUAGCAAUAUACAAAUAAUAUGCAAGUCACCCCCUUUUUAUUUAGAGACCACAGGGCCUGUGCUUUUUGGAAGAAGGCUGCAGAGGGACCACUAGGCAGUAUCUCUGAGACCCUAAGACAUGGGACACUCAGGUUCAAGAGAGGCCAGAGUGUAGCCAUCUGGUUCUAGCUUAUUUCAUGGAUGGACUCAUUCCCUAUGGGCCUCAAUUUCCCAAUGUGUGAGAUGGCAGGACUGGACUAGAUGGUCUCUAAGGCUUCUGUUCAAUACUGACAGUAGGGUUCUCUGAUCUGGGGCCCAGUGCCAGCACAGGGUAGAGGGAAUGAUUCCUUUCUGGGGUGGCUACUUGGCUCUCUUGCCCCUGCUGCCCAUUUCAGCAGUUCCUUUUAGGAAAUAAUUGGAAUAGCAGGUACAUGAGGAUGUGGGGGGGUAUCAUGUUCUCUCCUACUCCAUGCCUUUACCCACACUGUUUCUUCUGCUUGGAAUGCCCUUCCUGCUUUAGUCUCUUACCUGGCUAACUCCUUCUCUAACUCCAGCAACCUUACCUACCUUACCCUUCCACCUUCUGGGCAUCCCUAUGCACUGUUAACUUCUCUCAUUUCCCACUGGACUGUGAACUCUAAAGUGCAGGUAAUAGGUUUUGUCCAAGAUGGAAUCUCCAAUGUAAGUGUAUUAGUUUCUCAAGGCUACUGUAACAAAUUACCACAAUCUUGGUGGCUUAAAACAAUAAAUUUAUUCUCUCACAUUUCUGGAGGCCAGUAGUUCAACAUCAGUUUCACUGGGCCAGAAUCAAGGUGUCCACAGGACUGCUCUGUCUGGAUGCUCUAAGGGAAAAUCUGUUCUUUCAGCUCCUUGUGGCUGCUGGCAUUCCUUUGCUUGUGGCCACAUCACUCCAGUUUCUGCCUCCGUCUUCACAUUGCCUGCUACUCUUCUGUGGUGUGUAUAAUCUCCCUCUGCUUCUCUCUUAUAAGGAUACUUAUGGCAUUUAGAGCCAGGCCAUAUGAUCCAGGCAAGAUAAUCUCCCUAUCUCAAGAUUCUUAAUUUAAUCACAUCUGCAAAGACCCUUUUUCCAGAUAAAGUAACUUACAGGUUUCAGGGAAUAGGAUGUGGACUUAUCUUUGAGAGCCAUUAUCAGACUACCAAAAUAAACAAAGACAUCUUUA